UCUGAACCACCUGCCACCCAUGCAGGAUCCAUGCACCAGACACCCCUGAACGACACCAAGGCCAUGCAUCAACCAUAUUUGAACCAUACCUGAGUGACAUGUUAGGCAACCCUGUGUCACCUUUCCACCUCACCUGAGUAAUGUGUCAGCCACUCCUGAACAAUGCGUGAACGAUGCCUGUAUCAAGGCUCAGCCAUGCCAAGUCACGUGCCAGCCGAGCUUGAACCAAGUGCCAGUCACACUUGAACCAAAGGUAAGCCUCACUUGAAGCACAUGUCAGCCACACUGGCACAACUUGCCUGCCAUGCCUGAACCACGUGCCCCCCAUGCCACAAACACAUGUGAGUCACGCUUGAGCAGUACCACAGCUGUGCAUGUGCCACACAUGAGCCAUGCAUGGGAAAAGCCUGAAUCAUGUGUCUGAUACGUAGGAGCCAGUGCUGUGGAACGCCUGCGUCGCGUGUGAGCCAUGGCUGAGCUAUGCCUGAACCACUUAUGAAAGUGUCCUCUACCAUUUGGGACCCAGACAAGUUGUGCGUGAGCCAUGCCUGAAUUACAUGCAAACCAUGUGUGAGCGAUGCAUGAUCCACAUGUGAGACACCCUUGAAGCACAUCUGAACCACCUGUGAAACACACAUGAUCUAUGCUUGAACCGCACAUGAACCACAGGUCAGCCACACAUGAAACACAGCGGCGCCAUGCGGGAGCCACGUGACAGCCAUGACUGAGUAUGCAGGAGCCAUUUUUCAGGAACCUGUGAGUCACGUGGGAGCCACACCUGUAUGGCAUGUCACACACGUGUGACCGCAUGUCUUCCACACAUGCAUCCUGUGCGAUGCAUGCCUGAGUCAUGUGUCAGCUAUGACUGAGACAUGUGAGAGCCACCCCAGGUUCAUGUUUCACACAUGCCUGUGUCACAUAUCAGCCACGCCUGAGCCACCAGCCACCCAUGCAUGAACCCUGACCAGCCAUCCCUGAACCACACGAAGGCCAUGCAUGAGCCAUGUGUGAACCACAGCCAGCUGACAUGACAUGCACGCCUGUGUCACAUGGCCGCCUCACCUGAGUCAUGUGUCAGCCAUGCCUGCAUAACAUGUGAGCCACACCUGAGUCACAUCUCAGCUGUGCUGAUGUCACAUGCG
rnacentral:lncRNA from 1 species